rnacentral:rRNA from 1 species
CAGCCGCCGCGGGAACACGUAGGUGGCAAGCGUUGUCCGGAAUUAUUGGGCGUAAAGGGCUCGCAGGCGGUUUCUUAAGUCUGAUGUGAAAGCCCCCGGCUCAACCGGGGAGGGUCAUUGGAAACUGGGAAACUUGAGUGCAGAAGAGGAGAGUGGAAUUCCACGUGUAGCGGUGAAAUGCGUAGAGAUGUGAAGGAACACCAGUGGCGAAGGCGACUUUCUGGUCUGUAACUGACGCUGAUGUGCGAAAGCGUGGGGAUCAAACAGGAUUAGAUACCCCCGUAGUCCCUGUCUCUUAUAC